GACGAACGCUGGCGGCGUGCUUAACACAUGCAAGUCGAACGGAAAGGCCCUGCUUUUGUGGGGUGCUCGAGUGGCGAACGGGUGAGUAACACGUGAGUAACCUGCCCUUGACUUUGGGAUAACUUCAGGAAACUGGGGCUAAUACCGGAUAGGAGCUCCUGCUGCAUGGUGGGGGUUGGAAAGUUUCGGCGGUUGGGGAUGGACUCGCGGCUUAUCAGCUUGUUGGUGGGGUAGUGGCUUACCAAGGCUUUGACGGGUAGCCGGCCUGAGAGGGUGACCGGCCACAUUGGGACUGAGGUACGGCCCAGACUCCUACGGGAGGCAGAAGUGGGGAAUAUUGCACAAUGGGCGGAAGCCGGAUGCAGCAACGCCGCGUGCGGGAUGACGGCCUUCGGGUUGUAAACCGCUUUCGCCUGUGACGAAGCGUGAGUGACGGUAAUGGGUAAAGAGGCACCGGCUAACUACGUG
rnacentral:rRNA from 1 species